CACACACACACACACACACACACACACACACACACACACCCUAAUCUCCUCCCCACCUUCUUGGACAGCACAUCGCCAGGGCGGACGCUUACACAAUCAUCCAACACCAUUGGGUCGGGGCCAUACCGCCCAGCUCCCCCCAAUGGCUCACUGUGACCUGGCCUAACUGCGCCCCCACCCCCACCCCCCCACACACACACACACACCACUCCCUCUGUGAUACUGCUGCGGUCCACAGCAGAAACCUUUCUCAUGAACACUUAUCCCACCUGGUGGUGGCGAGCAACACAAGGCCAAUAGACACAGUUUUUGUGGUGGUUCUUUGUCUUUUUAUUUAUAGGCUUGCCAAUUUUUCCUUUUUUAUUGUUUUGUAGUUGAGAGAGAGAGUGUGUGUGUGUGUGUGUGUGUGUGUGUGUGUGUGUGUGUGUGUGUGUGUGUGUGUGUGUGUGUGUGUGUGUGUGUGUGUGUGUGUGUGUGUGUGUGUGUGUGUGUGUGACCAUGGUGUGAGCAUACGGACCCUGUAUAAACCUACAGUACCAUGGUUACACCGUAACUUUAUUUAAAAUUGGAACAGACCAAGCCAAAUGUUUUUACAUAACCUGUUUUUACAGAUGUUUUACAUGCUUUUAUUUUAGUUCAGUGCUUGGUUUAAAAAAAAAAAAAAAAAAAAGAGCCUGCUUUUUAGUUUCCCACAAGGUAAGUAAAACCAAAUGAUCACACAUUGAACCGGUUUUUAGAAGGGAAAACCUUUGUUUUAUUUGAGGCUAUUAAUCCUUCUUUCAAAGAGGUGACAUCUUGCUGUGUUUUUGUUUUCAGCUUAUUUCGCGGUUUUUAUUUAUUUGUAUAUUGAUUACUCCCCGCAGUCUAUUGCCGGCACACAUGUGAAUGUUUUGGCUUAAGAAGUGCUAUGCUAUGUUAUUUUUCUGUUGCGUAGAGAUAUAUUUAAACAAACAGAAGGAUUUUUUUAAAAGUUUGGUUCUAUUUUAAGACCAGAUCUGAGUCCUUAAGUUGAGACGAGUAAAGGAAUAGCACAUGUAAAAAGCAAUAAGGAGGUUUUUUUGUUCUUGGAUCUGGUAUAAAUAGUUUUCCAUUUGUAAAACAUGUAAUUACCAGAGGUUCGUUGUGUAUAUAUUGUACAUGGUACAGAACGAUGGGGGAUGUUUCCAUUGCAUAGGGUUACAUACUGCAGCUCAUAUGCCAAUGAUAUGUUAAUAUCCCAUCUGUUUUAUAUCAUGUCAAAUAAACGUUGCCGUUUUAUUGAGG
ensembl:lncRNA